GUAUGGAAAAGCAAAUGUAGGCAUGAGUAACGAUAAUGCGGGAGAGUAACCCGCACACCGCAAGACCAAGGUUUCCUGAUCAACGCUAAUCGGAUCAGGGUUAGUCGGGUCCUAAGGGUAAGCCGAACGGUGAUCUCGAUGGAUAAUCGGUUAAUAUUCCGAUACUGACAUAUACCUCGAUGGAGAGACGAAGGAACGUAAGUGCCGCCACCUGACGGAAUAGGUGGUUAAAGGGCUUAGGUAUAGGGACAGAUUAAGAGUUAGUCCUUGCUGAAACCUGACAGUACAGAGAGCCUACGGGCAAUUUGAUAGUGCACCCAAGUCGACUUCCGAGAAAAUCUUCUAAGUUAUAGUAUAUGUCACCCGUACCGUAAACCGACACAGGUGGUCGAGGAGAGUAUCCUAAGGUGCUCGAGUGAAUCACGGUUAAGGAACUAGGCAAAUUAACCCCGUAACUUCGGGAAAAGGGGUCCCAUCGCGAGGUGGGCGCAGCGAAGAGGUCCAGGCGACUGUUUAUCAAAAACACAGGGCUCUGCAAAUUCGAAAGAAGACGUAUAGGGCCUGACACCUGCCCGGUGCUGGAAGGUUAAGAGGGGAUGUCAUCGCAAGAGAAGCAUUGAAUCGAAGCCCCAGUAAACGGCGGCCGUAACUAUAACGGUCCUAAGGUAGCGAAAUUCCUUGUCGGGUAAGUUCCGACCUGCACGAAUGGUGUAACGAUCUGGACACUGUCUCAACCGUGAGCUCGGUGAAAUUGUAGUCCCGGUGAUGAUGCCGGGUACCCGCAACGGGACGAAAAGACCCCGUGAACCUUUACUAUAGCUUAACGCUGAAUUUGGGUACACAAUGUGUAGGAUAGGCAGGAGACUACGAAGCGGGCACGCCAGUGUUCGUGGAGUCGACGUUGAAAUACUGCCCUUUGUGUACUUGAGUUCUAACCCUCGAGAGGGGACACCGUUUGGUGGGUAGUUUGACUGGGGUGGUCGCCUCCAAAAGAGUAACGGAGGCUUCCCAAGGUACCCUCAGCACGAAUGGUAACCGUGCGUAGAGUGCAAUAGCAUAAGGGUGCUUGACUGUGAGACCAACAAGUCGAUCAGGUGCGAAAGCAGGGUAUAGUGAUCCGGUGGUUCUGUGUGGACUGGCCAUCGCUCAAAGGAUAAAAGGUACUCCGGGGAUAACAGGCUGAUCGCCGCCAAGAGCUCAUAUCGACGCGGCGGUUUGGCACCUCGAUGUCGGCUCGUCACAUCCUGGGGCUGGAGAAGGUCCCAAG
rnacentral:rRNA from 1 species